rnacentral:rRNA from 1 species
AGUCGAGCGGUAAGGCCCUUCGGGGUACACGAGCGGCGAACGGGUGAGUAACACGUGGGUAAUCUGCCCUGCACUCUGGGAUAAGCCCGGGAAACUGGGUCUAAUACCGGAUACGACCUCUUCCCGCAUGUGGUGGGGUGGAAAGUUCCGGCGGUGCAGGAUGAACCCGCGGCCUAUCAGCUUGUUGGUGGGGUAAUGGCCUACCAAGGCGACGACGGGUAGCCGGCCUGAGAGGGCGACCGGCCACACUGGGACUGAGACACGGCCCAGACUCCUACGGGAGGCAGCAGUGGGGAAUAUUGCGCAAUGGGCGAAAGCCUGACGCAGCGACGCCGCGUGAGGGAUGACGGCCUUCGGGUUGUAAACCUCUUUCAGCAGGGACGAAGCGUGAGUGACGGUACCUGCAGAAGAAGCACCGGCCAACUACGUGCCAGCAGCC